GCUUAGGCCACACCGUGGUUUCACGCCCGAUCUCGUUUGAUCUCGGAAGCUAAGAUAGGGGUUGGGCCUGGUUAGUACUUGGAUGGGAGACCGCCUGGGAAUACCAGGUGCUGUAAGCU
rnacentral:rRNA from 1 species